rnacentral:rRNA from 1 species
ACGGAGGAUGCGAGCGUUAUCCGGAUUUAUUGGGUUUAAAGGGAGCGCAGGCUGCGAGGCAAGUCAGCGGUCAAAUGUCGGGGCUCAACCCCGGCCUGCCGUUGAAACUGUCUUGCUAGAGUUCGAGUGAGGUAUGCGGAAUGCGUUGUGUAGCGGUGAAAUGCAUAGAUAUGACGCAGAACUCCGAUUGCGAAGGCAGCAUACCAACUCGCGACUGACGCUGAGGCUCGAAAGUGUGGGUAUCGAACAG